GGGACUUGUAACUGUCACUUCUGUCUUGAGUGGUUAAAAGAUAGAACAGUCUAGCCAAGUGCCAUGUCUCUUAUUCUUGAUCAGCUAUAGCUCUGGGAUUUUUGCAGAUUUUCAAAUAAAACUCAGAGAUUCCUUGUAUGAUUCUCUCAGGUCUCUCUUUUGUGGUAUUUUUGGAUCCUUACCAAGGCAUUGAUGGUAUAUGCCUUCUCUCAAGAUAUGUGGUAUUUGUGGUAUGAGGCAUAGUGACAUUGUCUUCUCUCUCACCCUACUCUAAUAAGGCUUUAAUAUCUGGAGCUCAUAGGUGGGAGAUAAAAUAUACAUACUUACAAGACAUUUAUUGCAUAGUCAAACCAUGGAUCCAAAGUAACAAGUCAAUAAGCCAAAUCAAGAUGUGCAUGUGUGGCGAAUGAAUGGUAUAUGGUGAUGACGGUGAUAACAAUGGUGAAAACAAUGGUGGUGGAAGUCUAAUUCAACUUUGCUCUUUUGAGGGGAUACAUACCUUCCUUGCUUUUGAAACUUUAUGAGGAGAAUGAGAUGCUCUUCUUUUUUCUUUUCUCUCAGGUGGGUAUCUUGCACCCCUAAUUCUACUGUCGGACACUUGUCCAUUUUUACCUCUCGUCUCACUUUUUCUUUUCUUUCGAGGUUCCGAGCACUUGCUCCUUUUUAUUUCCUCGUAUUUUUUUUAGAGCAUUCAUCUCUUGAGAUAAUAUAGCAAGUGGUAGUAACAAGAUAACUCGAACAUUUAUUUCACAAGGGAAAACAGAAAAUAUUUUUGGUUAUUCUCCCCCAAAUUAGGAGUAGAAUAUUUUUAGGUGGUUCUGGAGAUGGAAAUGAAUGGAUAUAUGUGGAUGGUACUUCCGGAGUAGAAGUAGCAUAUAUGAGUGAACGUGCAAGUGAAAUCUUGAUUUAACCACAUGACAAGCUCCUAAGGGUCUACACAGCUUGACCACACUCAAUGCUCAUAAGCAGUAAAUAUUAAAUGUGUGGCUCAAAGUCUAGCAAGCAUGUAUAUAUGGCUGUGGUAGGAAUUUAAGCUCUCAUCAUACAGGAACUCAUCAUGCAACAUUUUAAAGAUUUUCAAAGAUAAAAUUCUCCAGAAUUCUAGCAUCUCUAGGAACAGAUAAACAGCAGCUCAGCCUUCCCAUAUCGUAUCCGUUAACAACUUAGACUUCAGAUCAAGUUUUUAUCCCACAAGUUUAGAUCUAGAGCAAGCUUUAAAUUAUAACAGUUAUAUCUAAACUUGAGAGAGAGAACUUUAAAAUUUGCAAAUUAGGCAGAGCAACUUUCCAUCAUAUCCAUGCUUAAGUUUUAUUUAGAUACAGAUUAGCAUAGCCACUUUAUUUAUUUAUUAAACACACUAAGCAAAAGACAUAUAUAUAUAAGCA
rnacentral:lncRNA from 1 species